CUACUCUCCACCACAGAAGAUACCGUGAUGAUGAAGGUGGUUCUUCCAGAGUGAGGUUCACCAUUGCACUCUGAUGGUGCUGUCCUCUAUAACUAACACAAGUGUGUUGAGCUCCAGUGCGAACUUUUUGUUAGCAAGGGAUUGCGUUCGUGGUAUCCUUUU